rnacentral:lncRNA from 1 species
GAAUGAUAAAGGGGUCGCCGUCUAGGGUUUGGAGAAUGAUUGAAGAAAUUAGGGACGAUGGCGAUUUGGGAAGAAAUUGGGAAGAAAUUUGGGAACGAUGAAGAAUGAGAAUGAAGAAUGAAGAAAUUAGGGACGACGUACGGUGUGUUCUCGCGUUCGCGUAGGAAGAAUUUGGGAACGAUAAGAAUGAAGAAGAGAAUGAACAAAUUAAUUAAUUAAUGAACACUAAUAGGGAUUCCACUACGGGUGAAUACCAAAACGGUAGUGAAAUCCAAUUAAAACAAAUUUUAAUGUAAUUACAACAUUGCCACCGUGUCUACUUUUCACUACUGAUUUAAGAAAACCAGUAGUGAAAUCCCUUGUCUAUGAACUUUUCACUACCGGUAUUAAAAUAUCAGUAGUGGAAUC